rnacentral:rRNA from 1 species
UACGUAGGGGGCAAGCGUUGUCCGGAUUUAUUGGGCGUAAAGAGCGUGUAGGCGGCCUGACAGGUCUGCUGUGAAAACUCGAGGCUCAACCUCGAGAUGUCGGCGGAAACCGUCUGGCUAGAGUCCGGAAGAGGAGAGUAGAAUUCCUGGUGUAGCGGUGAAAUGCGCAGAUAUCAGGAAGAACACCUAUGGCGAAGGCAGCUCUCUGGGACGGUACUGACGCUGAGACGCGAAAGCGUGGGGAGCGAACAGG